rnacentral:rRNA from 1 species
AUUGAACGCUGGCGGCAGGCUUAACACAUGCAAGUCGAGCGGGGAAAUGUAGCUUGCUACAUUACCUAGCGGCGGACGGGUGAGUAAUGCUUAGGAAUCUGCCUAUUAGUGGGGGACAACAUUCCGAAAGGAAUGCUAAUACCGCAUACGUCCUACGGGAGAAAGCAGGGGACCUUCGGGCCUUGCGCUAAUAGAUGAGCCUAAGUCGGCUUAGCUAGUUGGUGGGGUAAAGGCCUACCAAGGCGACGAUCUGUAGCGGGUCUGAGAGGAUGAUCCGCCACACUGGGACUGAGACACGGCCCAGAGUCCUACGGGAGGCAGCAGUGGGGAAUAUUGGACAAUGGGGGGAACCCUGAUCCAGCCAUGCCGCGUGUGUGAAGAAGGCCUUUUGGUUGUAAAGCACUUUAAGCGAGGAGGAGGCUACUAGUAUUAAUACUACUGGAUAGUGGACGUUACUCGCAGAAUAAGCACCGGCUAACUCUGUGCCAGCCGCCGCCGUAAAAC